UACGGAGGGAGCUAGCGUUGUUUGGAAUUACUGGGCGUAAAGCGCACGUAGGCGGCUUUGUAAGUUAGAGGUGAAAGCCCGGGGCUCAACUCCGGAACUGCCUUUAAGACUGCAUCGCUUGAAUCCAGGAGAGGUGAGUGGAAUUCCGAGUGUAGAGGUGAAAUUCGUAGAUAUUCGGAAGAACACCAGUGGCGAAGGCGACUGACUGGACAAGUAUUGACGCUGAGGUGCGAAAGCAUGGGGAGCGAACAGG
rnacentral:rRNA from 1 species